UACAGGGGUCUCAAGCGUUGUUCGGAUUCAUUGGGCGUAAAGGGUGUGUAGGUGGCGCCGUAAGUCGGGUGUGAAAUUUCGGAGCUUAACUCCGAAACUGCAUUCGAUACUGCGGUGCUUGAGGACUGGAGAGGAGACUGGAAUUCAUGGUGUAGCAGUGAAAUGCGUAGAGAUCAUGAGGAGGACCAGUGGCGAAGGCGGGUCUCUGGACAGUUCCUGACACUGAGACACGAAGGCCAGGGGAGCAAACGGG
rnacentral:rRNA from 1 species